GACGAACGCUGGCGGCGUGCUUAACACAUGCAAGUCGAACGGAAAGGCCCUGCGUUUGUGGGGUGAUCGAGUGGCGAACGGGUGAGUAACACGUGAGUAACCUGCCCUUGACUUUGGGAUAACUUCAGGAAACGGGGGCUAAUACCGGAUAGGAGCUCCUGCUGCAUGGUGGGGGUUGGAAAGUUUCGGCGGUUGGGGAUGGACUCGCGGCUUAUCAGCCUGUUGGUGGGGUAGUGGCUGACCAAGGGUGUGACGGGUAGCCGGCCUGAGAGGGUGACCGGCCACAUUGGGACUGAGAUACGGCCCAGACUCCUACGGGAGGCAGCAGUGGGGAAUAUUGCACAAUGGGCGGAAGCCUGAUGCAGCAACGCCGCGUGCGGGAUGACGUCCUUCGGGUUGUAAACCGCUUUCGCCUGUGACGAAGCGUGAGUGACGGUAAUGGGUAAAGAAGCACCGGCUAACUACGUG
rnacentral:rRNA from 1 species